GUGAGACCGGGUGGUGAGAGCAGUAAAGAGUUUAAACGUAGUAUGGUAAAAAUACAACACAAAGGGGGAAACCAAGUUCCUUGCUAUCCCGGCGUCCACGCCAGCCUUCGGCGUCUGCCAGCGCGUAUGCUGGAAGAGGAGGGUCGCCGCGCGCCAACUGUCUUCACGCCCGGCAUAUGGCCUCCUCGGUGGCUGUAGCCGCCGGGUUAUGAUGAGGGCAUUCUGUUGUGACUCAGGUGUCCGUUGGGAGGGACAGCGGAUUCCGCCGUCCUGCUGAUGG
rnacentral:lncRNA from 1 species